rnacentral:rRNA from 1 species
AGCUCCAAUAGCGUAUAUUAAAGUUGUUGCAGUUAAAAAGCUCGUAGUUGGAUUUCUGGCAGAGUGUUCUCCGGCCGGGCGAACCUUGGUCCGGAGCGCUCUACCAUCCUUCUGUUAACCAUUGCGGAAUUCACUUUCUGCUCUGGGGCUCAGAUAUUUUACCUUGAGAAAAUUAGAGUGUUUCAGGCAGGCUUACGCCGGAAUACAUUAGCAUGGAAUAAUGGAAAAGGACUUCAACCUCUUCUGUUGGUCUGGGAGGCUGUAGUAAUGAUUAAUAGGGAUAGUUGGGGGCAUUAGUACUUAACUGUCAGAGGUGAAAUUCUCCGAUUUGUUAAAGACUAACUUAUGCGAAAGCAUUUGCCAAGGAUGUUUUCA